rfam:Exophiala oligosperma strain CBS 72588 unplaced genomic scaffold supercont1.3, whole genome shotgun sequence.
GCCGGUGUAGUGCAGUGGUGAGCACGUUUCGUUGUGGUCUGGCUUUGUCACUUCACUCUUCCAGUGCAAGAGAUGAGUCAAAUGCAAGAACCGAAGAGACCUUGGUUCGAACCCAAGCACCGGCA